rnacentral:rRNA from 1 species
UACGUAGGGGGCAAGCGUUGUCCGGAUUUAUUGGGCGUAAAGAGCGUGUAGGCGGCCAUGUAGGUCCGUUGUGAAAACUCGAGGCUCAACCUCGAGACGCCGAUGGAAACCAUCUGACUAGAGUCCGGAAGAGGAGAGUGGAAUUCCUGGUGUAGCGGUGAAAUGCGCAGAUAUCAGGAAGAACACCCGUGGCUAAGGCGGCUCUCUAGUACGGUACUGACGCUGAGACGCGAAAAGCGUGGGGGAGCGAACAGG